rnacentral:rRNA from 1 species
UUCCGGUUGAUCCUGCCGGACCCUACUGCUAUCGGGGUGGGACUAAGACAUGCGAGUCGAGCGUCUCUAGCUAUGUUGAGACGCGGCAGACGGCUCAGUAACACGUGGCUAACCUACCCUCAGGACAAGGAUAAACCCGGGAAACUGGGGCUAAUACUCGAUAGGCGAAGGCGCCUGGAAUGGUUCUUCACCCAAUGGGCUUUAAAAACAUGCUUCUAAAGUCGCCUGGGGAUGGGGCCGCGUCCGAUCAGGUUGUUGGUGAGGUAACGGCUCACCAAGCCUAUAACCGGUACGGGCCGUGAGAGCGGUAGCCUGGAGAUGGGUACUGAGACAAGGACCCAGGCCCUACGGGGCGCAGCAGUCGCGAAAACUCCGCAAUGCACGAAAGUGUGACGGGGCUACCCCGAGUGCCAUCCGCUGAGGAUGGCUUUUCCUUGGUGUAACUAGCCAGGGGAAUAAGGAGAGGGCAAGACUGGUGUCAGCCGCCGCGGUAAUACCAGCUCUCCGAGUGGUAGGGAUGAUUAUUGGGCUUAAAGCGUCCGUAGCCUGCUUAGCAAGUCUCCUGUUAAAUUCAGCGACUUAAUCGUUGAGCCGCGGGAGAUACUACUAGGCUAGGAGGCGGUAGAGGUCGACGGUACUUCUGGGGUAGGGGUGAAAUCCUAUAAUCCCGGGAGGACCACCAGCGGCGAAGGCUGUCGACUAGAACGCGCUCGACGGUGAGGGACGAAAGCUGGGGGAGCGAACCGGAUUAGAUACCCGGGUAGUCCCAGCCGUAAACGAUGCAUACUAGGUGAUGGCACGGCCAUGAGCCGUGUCAGUGCCGUAGGGAAACCGUUAAGUGUGCCGCCUGGGAAGUACGGUCGCAAGGCUAAAACUUAAAGGAAUUGGCGGGGGGGCACCCCAAGGGGUGAAGCCUGCGGUUCAAUUGGAUUCAACGCCGGA